rnacentral:rRNA from 1 species
CGGACGGGUGAGUAAUGUCUGGGAAACUGCCCGAUGGAGGGGGAUAACUACUGGAAACGGUAGCUAAUACCGCAUAACGUCGCAAGACCAAAGAGGGGGACCUUCGGGCCUCUUGCCAUCGGAUGUGCCUAGAUGGGAUUAGCUAGUAGGUGGGGUAACGGCUCACCUAGGCGACGAUCCCUAGCUGGUCUGAGAGGAUGACCAGCCACACUGGAACUGAGACACGGUCCAG